GUGUCGGAUAUUGGGGCGUAAAGGGCUCGCAGGCGGUUUCUUAAGUCUGAUGUGAAAGCCCCCGGCUCAACCGGGGAGGGUCAUUGGAAACUGGGGAACUUGAGUGCAGAAGAGGAGAGUGGAAUUCCACGUGUAGCGGUGAAAUGCGUAGAGAUGUGGAGGAACACCAGUGGCGAAGGCGACUCUCUGGUCUGUAACUGACGCUGAGGAGCGAAAGCGUGGGGAGCGAACAGGAUUAGAUACCCUGGUAGUCCACGCCGUAAACGAUGAGUGCUAAGUGUUAGGGGGUUUCCGCCCCUUAGUGCUGCAGCUAACGCAUUAAGCACUCCGCCUGGGGAGUACGGUCGCAAGACUGAAACUCAAAGGAAUUGACGGGGGCCCGCACAAGCGGUGGAGCAUGUGGUUUAAUUCGAAGCAACGCGAAGAACCUUACCAGGUCUUGACAUCCUCUGACAAUCCUAGAGAUAGGACGUCCCCUUCGGGGGCAGAGUGACAGGUGGUGCAUGGUUGUCGUCAGCUCGUGUCGUGAGAUGUUGGGUUAAGUCCCGCAACGAGCGCAACCCUUGAUCUUAGUUGCCAGCAUUCAGUUGGGCACUCUAAGGUGACUGCCGGUGACAAACCGGAGGAAGGUGGGGAUGACGUCAAAUCAUCAUGCCCCUUAUGACCUGGGCUACACACGUGCUACAAUGGACAGAACAAAGGGCAGCGAAACCGCGAGGUUAAGCCUAU
rnacentral:rRNA from 1 species